rnacentral:rRNA from 1 species
AUUGAACGCUGGCGGCAGGCCUAACACAUGCAAGUCGAGCGAGCGGCGGACGGGUGAGUAAUGUAUGGGGACUGCCUGAUAGAGGGGGAUAACUACUGGACACGGUGGCUAAUACCGCAUACUAUAGGCUAAUCCUUAUGGGAAUGGCUAGUAGGUGGGGUAAAGGCUUACCUAGGCGACGAUCUCUAGCUGGUCUGAGAGGAUGAUCAGCCACACUGUGACUGAGACACGGCCCGGACUCCUACGGAGGCAGCAGUGGGGAAUAUUGCACAAUGGGCGCAAGCCUGAUGCAGCCAUGCCGCGUGUAUGAAGAAGGCCUUAGGGUUGUAAAGUACUUUCAGCGGGGAGGCGUUACCCGCAGAAGAAGCACCGGCUAACUCCGUGCCAGCAGCCGCGGUAAUAC